rnacentral:rRNA from 1 species
AAUGAACGCUGGCGGCAGGCCUAAAACAUGCAAGUCGAACGCCUGUAGCAAUACAGGAGUGGCGCACGGGUGCGUAACACGUGGGAAUAUGCCUAUUGGUACGGAACAGCUCCGGGAAACUGGAAUUAAUACCGUAUGGUCCCUUCGGGGUAAAGAUUUAUCGCCAAUAGAUUAGCCCGCGGUGGAUUAGCUAGUUGGUAGGGUAAUGGCCUACCAAGGCGACGAUCCAUAGCUGGUCUGAGAGGACGAUCAGCCACACUGGGACUGAGACACGGCCCAGACUCCUACGGGAGGCAGCAGUUAGGAAUAUUGGACAAUGGGCGCAAGCCUGAUCCAGCCAUGCCGCGUGAGUGAUGAAGGCCUUCGGGUUGUAAAACUCUUUAGCCGAUGAAUAUAAUGACUGUAGUCGGAAAAUAAGCCCCGGCUAACUUCGUGCCAGCAGCCGCCGCCG